rnacentral:rRNA from 1 species
UACGUAGGGCGCAAGCGUUAUCCGGAAUUAUUGGGCGUAAAGAGCUCGUAGGCGGUUUGUCGCGUCUGCCGUGAAAGUCCGGGGCUCAACUCCGGAUCUGCGGUGGGUACGGGCAGACUAGAGUGAUGUAGGGGAGACUGGAAUUCUUGGUGUAGCGGUGAAAUGCGCAGAUAUCAGGAGGAACACCGAUGGCGAAGGCAGGUCUCUGGGCAUUAACUGACGCUGAGGAGCGAAAGCAUGGGGAGCGAACAGG